UACGAGCGGCCCAAACGUUAUUCGGAAUUACUGGGCUUAAAGAGUUCGUAGGCGGCAUUGCAAGUAGGGUGUGAAAGCCCUCGGCUCAACCGAGGAAUUGCGCUCUAAACUGCAGUGCUUGAGGAAGCUAGAGGUGAGCAGAACAGAUGGUGGAGCGGUGAAAUGCGCAGAUAUCAGGAGGAACACCGGUGGCGAAGGCGGGUCUCUGGGCCGAUAUUGACGCUGAGGAGCGAAAGCGUGGGGAGCGAACAGG
rnacentral:rRNA from 1 species